rnacentral:rRNA from 1 species
CAAUAGCGUAUAUUAAAGUUGUUGCAGUUAAAAAGCUCGUAGUUGGAUUUCUGGUCGAGUGCGCCUGGCCCGCGGCGGUUACGUCAGUGAGUGCCGGAGCGCGCUUGCCAUCCUGCUAGAGAACGUUUCUACCCUUCACUGGGCCGGACUCGCGAUCUAGCUCCUUUACUUUGAAAAAAUUAGAGUGUUUAAAGCAGGCUUUUGCUAUGAAUACAUUAGCAUGGAAUAAUGAUCUAGGACUUCGGUUCUAUUUUGUUGGUUUCUAGUACUGAAGUAAUGAUUGAUAGGGAUAGUUGGGGGUGCUAGUAUUGGCCGGCCAGAGGUGAAAUUCUUGGAUUCGGUCAAGACUAACUUAUGCGAAAGCAUUCACCAAGGAUGUCUUCUUUAAUCAAGAACGAAAGUUGGGGGAUCGAAGACGAUCAGAUACCGU